AUCGCAAUCCGAGCCAUCGAUCUUAUAAGAUAGGAAAGUCCGGACAGUACAGGGCGGCUCGCUGCUUGUUAAAGGCAGGUGCGUUUUACGUAACGGCAAGUGCAACAGAAAACAAACCAGCCGUGACCUUUGCGUCACUGGUGAUGGGUGCAAUGGUGAGGUAAGAGCUCACCGGCAAUGCAAGUGAUUGUGUUGGCCAGGUAAACCCCGGGCACUGAAAGACCAUGUAAACCCCGGCUUGAAGGCUGCCCGCCUAAACGGGGAGGGUAGGUCGAGAAGAUAAAUGAUGGCAUAGAACAGAAUCCGGCUUACGGGAUUGCAACAUGA
rnacentral:RNase_P_RNA from 1 species